rnacentral:lncRNA from 1 species
CACAUUCCCAGUAGAGUUGGAGGUGGGGGUGGUGCUGCUGCCAACUCUAUAUAGGGAGUUCAACUGGUCACCCAGAGCUGUCCUGUGGCCUCUGCAGCUCAGCAUGGCUAGGGUACUGGGAGCACCCGUUGCACUGGGGUUGUGGAGCCUAUGCUGGUCUCUGGCCAUUGCCACCCCUCUUCCUCCGACUAGUGCCCAUGGGAAUGUUGCUGAAGGCGAGACCAAGCCAGACCCAGACGUGACUGAACGCUGCUCAGAUGGCUGGAGCUUUGAUGCUACCACCCUGGAUGACAAUGGAACCAUGCUGUUUUUUAAAGGGACCCACUACUGGCGUCUGGACACCAGCCGGGAUGGCUGGCAUAGCUGGCCCAUUGCUCAUCAGUGGCCCCAGGGUCCUUCAGCAGUGGAUGCUGCCUUUUCCUGGGAAGA